rnacentral:lncRNA from 1 species
AGAAAGGGAGAAAGUCAAUCAUAAAAAAAACUGUGAACAAAGUACCUGGUGCAAAACCAAGCAGUAGUUGUGUUGUUUUAUCUGACAAAUACCAAGUUUAAGUAUAACUCCCAUAUUAUUACUUUCCAUUUAGUUGACUUUGAGGAAAAAAACAAACUGUUGAAUCACUAAUGCUUGGACAAAGUCGCUUUUUUAUUGUUGUUUUAUUCAGACUUUUGCCUAGAUACAUUGGUGCUUAGCAUUUAAACAAAGAAACAGAAACAAACAAACCAAAAACAAAACCACACGAAACACCAAAAAACAAAACAAAGAAGAAAAAUGUUUGCCCCAAAUGGUUUAGAACUUGGGAAAAUCCCAUAACGGUCAUAAUGGGUUCCUUGGGCAUGUGUCUGACAGGUAUAAGAAACUAGCAGCCACUGAAAAUUCUCUACACCUGACAUGAUCUGUUAAUGACAACCUUCUGAAGCUUAGGAGCCAAAAUACCAUCCACUGCAGCAAACAUGAAAUGCAGUAAUUUCUGAUGGAAUCUUAAAUGAAGCCUUUAAUAAUGAAGCUUGACUUAGUUCAGUUAUUAUUGAAUAUUGCAUUGACUGUGAUAAAACUUCAUUUUCUAAUUUAGUCCUGUUAUUAUGGGUAGCUGGUUUCUGAAAAGGGAUUUAGUGCUUGUGGAGAAUUCUGACUGGACAACCUGGAAUCCAAAAGGGUAAAGCCUGUGCGGCAUCAUCAGUGCCAUUACUAAACUGCUUUUAGCCUUUGUGUUUUGUUUAACCACAGCCUUUCCCUUGCAUACCCCAUUGUGUGUGUUUGGCACUUAAGACACCUGAACAUGUUAUUAAAUCUUUAUGAAUAUUUUAUUGUGAAGGUUUUCAAAUAAAGAUCUGUCCUAACAAUGUAUCUUACUCUUCACAUAUCCAGCACUAACAGUGUGACUGCACAGCAUACUGCACUCCUGAUGUAUUAAUUUGACUUUGGUACACAGUGAAUGGGGAUUAAGCUAUGUUUUCUGAUGAUCAGAUGGGUUAAAAGCCAAGAUGGAGAAUGGAGACAAGCUGUAACCUCGUGGUCUUCUGCUGGUGAAGUCUGGUUUCUUCAAGACAACUGGAAAUGUAAGCUCUUGUAUCAUAGCUGAGUUAACUUCAUUGCUGUAAGAAAUAGUCAAACAGGUAGUAAAGGCUUUAUGCUCAUUUGUCCAAAGCUUUCUUGUUUUCUCUGAUGGUAUUUCAGAAGAAAUAGCUGUUGACAACAUGUUUUUUAUCGCUUAACGCUUUACUGUGUCAAAA